UACAGUAAACACCCCGGGGGGCAGCGCCCCCUGAGGGCUCUGAGUGCGAAUUGCGUCUGCAAAAUUUACCAGGCCUAUCAAUAGUUUGUCAAUUAAAAGUUCGAAGCCAAAGUGGUGGUAAUUAAAGUUUCAUUACGGAAACAGUUUUUACAUCGAAAAUAAGUUUCAAAGGCGAACCGAGGCGAGGAUUCUCUUUUUUUUGUUUUGAUUUGAACACAAAAAUGUAUUACCAGCUGGGUAUAUCAAACGUCAUCGUGAACAAACAAAAAUCCUGGAUCAAAAUUUCAUCUGGCCAAAUUUUUCGGGGUCUUCUUGUAAAUAUUGGAAUCACCGGAGGACUCGGACAAGACAUCAUGACUAAGGUGAAGUGAAACAGUCUCUAGAUUCCCAAAGAUAGGAUAGGCUUAGGUUUAUUGUAUGUAGGUAGGCUAGGUUUGUAGUUUUAGCUGUGAGUGCCAAAUUAUUCCGUACAAUUUUUACCUUCGUGAGCAAUGCGUACUUACCAAUGAUUAUUAUCAAUGUGUAAGAAUCUUUUUCGAUAGUGCCUUAAUGAUCGGUGUUGUUAGUUAAACCAGUUACCAUUCAUGUUUUUGUUUGUAAUGGUACGUUUUCUCGAGUUCUUGUUAACGUUUUUGUUAUAAAUCCGAAUUUGCCAGUUGAUAAAACUCACAAUUAGUUUUAAAUUCACCAGUUUAUCGCGGGUUUUCACAAUUCCAAAGUUUCCUGUUGUUACAUGUUUCUGUUGUGUGGUUGUUAAGUUUUUGUUAUUAACACACUUAAAGCUCCAAAUUGUUUUCUUGAUCAUUUGUUACAUUUCGUUAUUGAUCAGGGAUGUAAAUUAUUGUUUGGUUAACUGUAAAUAUGUUGAUAUUUUGUUUGUAAAUACCAAUUUGUUGUUACCAGCUGGACUGGACAUUGGGAGGAUUGUGACUGACGUUAAAUUGUUGAGUUUGAAUUUUUGUUUUGUUACUUUCUGAUCACAUCUAAAACCACAUUGGAUUAUUCAAAAUCAUCACAAUCCAUCAGUUAUAGAUUCAUAGAUGAAACAGUUAAAAUUAAUCUCAAUUACUUUAAUGAUUUUAAGUUUAAAAAACAUUAUUUGGAUCAUCCUACUUUUCUGAAUCUAAAAAACCUACCUACCAGUCUGAUAAUCAUGUUGUUAAAGUUAUGUUUGUGUCAUUUGCCUGAAUACAUCGUUGAUUUUGUAAUAAUUACUAAACAUAUUUUUUGUGAAUGUUUUAAAUCCUAACAACCAAUUAAAAUAGAAUACCGUGCUUUACUUAAUUACAUCUUCGUUCAUGUUUUUGUUUUCGUUUGUAAAUGUUACUCGUUGAAUUUUUGUUUUGUUUUCUCAUUCCGUCAACCAGUUAGUAAAACAAACAGAAAAAAAAAAUACACAAAAAAUCUUUGGCUGUUUACGUUCAUACACAUUGAAUUUUUGUUUUGUUGCUUUUCUACUUGUAGAAUUAUCAGUAUCAGUUAUAUUAGAAACUAAAGCACGUACAGAAUUGUUAAUUUUAUUUGUUGAUUUUUUUGUUUCGAUUUAAGUUGAUUUUUUGUUUUGUUACUUUUCCAAUCCAUAACCCGGUUAUCUUUUUGGAUCUAAAUUGUUUUUUAAUCCCCGCCUUUAUUAGAUCAAAAAACGUGCAUCAGUACACUUUUAUCCUGCUAUCACAGCUUGUUGAUUUCACUGUUAAAGUUAGUUGAGUUUUUGUUUCGUUGCUAUUUUGUUUUACAUUGUCAAAUUGAAUUGUUAAGUUGAUUCUGAAUUUGAGCCUACUUUAUCAGUAAACCUACGUUUAGUAAAGAUGGUUUCACAGAUUUGAUUCAAAUCAAAAUGCGUGUUAAGUUUUUGUUCUCGUUUUGCCUGAAACAAUCACAACGUGCCUUACGCCAAAAGUGCCUGAAAUUGUUUCAUUUUUUAUUAUCUCUUUGUGUUUCUGUUAUUGCUUUCUGUUGGGGUUUUGACUUUUGUGAAAACCUUAUCAGGACGCUUUGUUCCUUUUUACGUGUAGUAUAACUUAAUCGGCUUCUGAUAUUUCUGUCAAAACCAACAAACGAUUGUUGAUACGUUUUAGAACAAAAAUAAUUUUCCGACAAUAAGUACCUACAUGUUUGUUAUAAUUUAUUGCGAGUUAUCUACACGUAAAAUUGUUGUCUGUUAUUUUAACUUGGUGUUUAUCUUAUCCCCUACAUUAUUUGUUCAAAAAUUUUGUCAGCAUUUUCAUGAUCAAAGGCUUUCAGGAUCAGGGCACAUCAGAUACAAAAUAUCAUUUAAAUUGUAAUUGACUGAGUUUCUUCCUCCUCUUCUCCAGUGAAAUGUAGAUGUCACAAUUUUUAUUUUGCACGUGUAAAGGGCUUAACAUUGGUACUAAUUUACAUAAUUUGAUUUGGAAUUAGAGUCAUUACGCAACGUUUAAUUAUAAGUCACAUCUACACUUGAGUGAUAUUUACAGUCAAUACCAUACUUUUAUUUAUUACUAGCUUUCCGCCCGCGGCUUCGCCCGCGUGGAAUUUUGUCUGUCACAGAAAAACUUUAUCGCGCGCGUCCCUGUUUCAAAAACCGGGAUAAAAACUAUCCUAUGUUCUUUCCCGGGACUCAAACUAUCUCUAUGCCAAAUUUCAUCAAAAUCGGUUGCGAGGUUUAAGCGGGAAAGCGUAACAGACAGACAGACAGACAGAGUUACUUUCGCAUUUAUAAUAUUAGUUGGGAUUGUUAACUUCAACUUAUUUUAAUUUACAUAAGUUAGUUCUUUUUUAUGGUCUUGCAUCACGCUACGAUUUUUAUUAUGGGGGUAAGAUAUUCAUUAAGACAUAUUGUUGACUUUUGUUCAAGUUUUUUGUUAUUUAUUUUUAAGCGUUAAGUUGUCGUUAAGUUUUGUGAUAUUACUGUUAAAUUAAAAUGGCUGUGUUUGUUAGUUUUAUGUUAAGUUUUCGUUUUAACUGUUUGUUGUUUGUUUUCCGACAUUAAGGCCGCCUAAACCAAAUAAAAACUUGUACUAUAUUAAUUAGAUUAAGUUUUGCUUUUGUAAUAAUUAAUAAUGGAUAAGUUAAAACUGAAGCUUUGUGUAAAAUUAACAAAUAGUGUAAGGUAAUUUAUUAGAGAUGUAUGACAGUAAUGUGUGUUUGUGUGGAAUAAUAAAAGAAAAACACGAA